GUAUAUUAAUAAAAGACCUGAUCG
rnacentral:snRNA from 1 species